rnacentral:tRNA from 1 species
GUUUUAAUAAUUUAAUAAAAAUAUUGGUCUUGUAAACCAACAAUAAGAAAUAUAACUUUUAAAACA